rnacentral:tRNA from 1 species
CGAGCUGGGCCGAAGGAAUGAUCGUUAGCGACUGUUAAUCGUAGGGUUGUCGGUUCGAGUCCGACCGGCGCGC